GGAUCCAGACUUUGAUCCUGGCUCAGGAUGAACGCUAGCUACAGGCUUAACACAUGCAAGUCGAGGGGAAACGACAUCGAAAGCUUGCUUUUGAUGGGCGUCGACCGGCGCACGGGUGAGUAACGCGUAUCCAACCUGCCCACCACUUGGGGAUAACCUUGCGAAAGUAAGACUAAUACCCAAUGACGUCUCUAGAGGACAUCUGAAAGGGAUUAAAGAUUUAUCGGUGAUGGAUGGGGAUGCGUCUGAUUAGCUUGUUGGCGGGGUAACGGCCCACCAAGGCUACGAUCAGUAGGGGUUCUGAGAGGAAGGUCCCCCACAUUGGAACUGAGACACGGUCCAAACUCCUACGGGAGGCAGCAGUGAGGAAUAUUGGUCAAUGGACGAGAGUCUGAACCAGCCAAGUAGCGUGCGGGAUGACGGCCCUAUGGGUUGUAAACUGCUUUUAUAAGGGAAUAAAGUGAGUCUCGUGAGGCUUUUUGCAUGUACCUUAUGAAUAAGGACCGGCUAAUUCCGUGCCAGCAGCCGCGGUAAUACGGAAGGUCCGGGCGUUAUCCGGAUUUAUUGGGUUUAAAGGGAGCGUAGGCCGGAGAUUAAGCGUGUUGUGAAAUGUAGAUGCUCAACAUCUGCACUGCAGCGCGAACUGGUUUCCUUGAGUACGCACAAAGUGGGCGGAAUUCGUGGUGUAGCGGUGAAAUGCUUAGAUAUCACGAAGAACUCCGAUUGCGAAGGCAGCUCACUGGAGCGCAACUGACGCUGAAGCUCGAAAGUGCGGGUAUCGAACAGGAUUAGAUACCCUGGUAGUCCGCACGGUAAACGAUGGAUGCCCGCUGUUGGUCUGAAUAGGUCAGCGGCCAAGCGAAAGCAUUAAGCAUCCCACCUGGGGAGUACGCCGGCAACGGUGCAACUCAAAGGAAUUGACGG
rnacentral:rRNA from 1 species